UACGGAGGGGGCUAGCGUUGUUCGGAAUUACUGGGCGUAAAGCGCACGUAGGCGGCUUUGUAAGUUAGAGGUGAAAGCCCGGGGCUCAACUCCGGAAUUGCCUUUAAGACUGCAUCGCUAGAAUUGUGGAGAGGUAAGUGGAAUUCCGAGUGUAGAAGUGAAAUUCGUAGAUAUUCGGAAGAACACCAGUGGCGAAGGCGAGUCCCUGGACAACUCCUGACACUGAGGCGCGAAAGCUAGGGGAGCAAACAGG
rnacentral:rRNA from 1 species